GACGAACGCUGGCGGCGUGCCUAACACAUGCAAGUCGAACGGAGUUAAGACUUCGGUUUAACUUAGUGGCGAACGGGUGAGUAACGCGUGAGCAACCUGCCUUUCAGAGUGGGACAACAGUUGGAAACGACUGCUAAUACCGCAUAAUGUCAUUUAGGGGCAUCCCUGAAUGACCAAAGCUUUAUGUGCUGAAAGAUGGUCUCGCGUCUGAUUAGCUAGAUGGCGGGGUAACGGCCCACCAUGGCGACGAUCAGUAGCCGGUCUGAGAGGAUGAACGGCCACAUUGGGACUGAGAUACGGCCCAGACUCCUACGGGAGGCAGCAGUGGGGAAUAUUGGGCAAUGGGGGAAACCCUGACCCAGCAACGCCGCGUGAAGGAAGAAGG
rnacentral:rRNA from 1 species